rnacentral:piRNA from 1 species
UGCCAUUAACACUGCCUAUUUCA